UUUUUGCGAAUACAGACUAACACGGCUGCUACUCUGAUACACUAGUAUUGUUAUCUGAGCUAGGUAGGUUAAAGCUAGCAUGGAUAUGCCUACCUACCCGCACUACAAUCAAACCUUCACCUGCAGUGUAGAUUUAAUCUGUUUGUGUCACCCAGUAAUUGUCUGUACGGGUAAUUUUUCCCAUAUAGUUAUAACUAUAGUGGUAUAAUUUUGUUAGUAAAAUUCCCCAUAUAAAUAAGCCCUCACAAAGGAGUUUCAGAGGAAACGAUAGCUUGUAGAAAUGUGAACUCUGUAAACAGAGGUGCUAAAACUUUUAUACUGCAAUCAUUUUAAAAGUAUGUCCUGGGCAUUGGUAACAAUCAGUAGCUGAGCAAAGGGGCAGUCCAAUGAUGUACAUUUAUGAGGGUCAGUGUAGAGUUAGGUUUGCAGAAGAUUAUAAUUUAGAGAUGCUCCCUCAUAAGGGACAAUAUUAUGAAUAUAGGAAUUUGGAGAUGUGCCCUGGAGGCAGGGGUUGAGAACACCACAUGGCUGUGUGCAGCAGUUCACCAGAGAGGUUCUCCAGUUUGUUUUAUUAAAGUUGUAUUCCUUUUUCAUUCACUGCUUGGUUAUUUAAUGAACCCCAGGAUCGUUACAUGGUGUCAGAAAUGCUGAAUGAGAAGGAAACUGCAGUCAUUUUGAAAUUAACUUCUGUAUUUUCAACUGAAAGCAGAGACAAAGGGAGGCACCAGAGAAGCACAUGGAGCACUAGCACAAAGGCUUUUGCAUGUAUUUGAAAUGCCCUUGGGAACCCAGCCUCCCUCUUUGUUAUCGCUGGCUGAACGGCUGUGCAGAAUUACAAAGCGGCCACGAAGAACUAAGGAGGACUUUCUGCGUGAGGUUUUGAUGCACUCCACCGCCGAGAAACAGGAAUUGAAGGAGUGGCAGGACAGCAAGAAGAGGGACCGAAAGGAGAACGCGGCGCGCCAGAAUGAAGCAAUGGAGCAACUCUUAAACAUUAUAGAGUGCCAAGUGGACACACUCCAGGUGAUCCUAGCACUGCAAACCGAGCAGCUCUGUGCACACCCUCCUCUGCAGCCACUGUCACAAAACUCUUUCCCACAUGCCCCCCCAGACACCGCUAACACACUCUUAUCAACCUCCUGCUUCCAGUCUGUAUCCACGGCAUUCCACUCCUAUCCCGUCACAGUCCAGCCCUACGGACUCCCAGUACCCACUGCACUCAACACCCGUCCCUCUGCAGUUUAGCCCUGUUGAAGUACAGCACCCGCUGCAUUGUACUCCAAAGGAGAAGGUUGGAUAUGAUCCCUGGAUAUAAACAAAUCUUUAGCCGUCCCGGGACCCCAUCUCCUCCUGGGACUUUCCCUUCCCCCAUCCCCCUCAGUGCUGAUGUGUUUUUUUGUUUGUCUCUCUCCUCUGGUUGUUGUUUUUUAAUAAAAUAAUUGUGUUGGUUUGAAA